rnacentral:rRNA from 1 species
UACGUAGGGGGCAAGCGUUGUCCGGAUUUAUUGGGCGUAAAGAGCGUGUAGGCGGCCUGACAGGUCUGCUGUGAAAACUCGAGGCUCAACCUCGAGAUGUCGGCGGAAACCGUCUGGCUAGAGUCCGGAAGAGGAGAGUGGAAUUCCUGGUGUAGCGGUGAAAUGCGCAGAUAUCAGGAGGAACACCGGUGGCGAAGGCGGUUCUCUGGGAAUAUCCUGACGCUGAGGAGCGAAAGUGUGGGGAGCGAACAGG